AGUUCAAGGGGGCCGAAUACUUUCGCAAGGCACUGUAUUUCACCUCAUAAGCGCUCACUCAGUCCGCGCAAAAUUAUUACCUCAGAAUUGCUCUCCAAGGAUGGUGUUUUUGACAGUGACAACCUGCUGACCAUCUGCUGCCUCAGAGGACCAACAAAAAUGGAAAGAGAACACUCUUUCUUUACCAUAUAAGAAAAUAUUGUUAAAUAGGAAGAAAUAAUUUAAGCCGUUUUUAGAUUAACGCUGCUAGCUACUCUACUUAUUUACCUCAGCCUGCCUAGUCAGCUAGCCAGUUACAGUAGCUGGCUAGGUAGCCAGCUAGCUAGCCAGAUAGUUUUAUUUAGCUAACUUAGCUAGCUAACAAUUGUGACUGUUAUUGUAGCUUUGUGUUUGAAUGUAGCUUGCACUUCAAUGGCAUCCCUCGAGGAGAUUUUAAUUUAUCUUUCCAACCAGGCAAAGUACUAUGAAGGAACCCCUGAUUUCGACAAGAGGUGCAACAUUCAGAGAAAUUCACAAUUCAGGGUAACGUUAAGCAGUUAACUUCUAUUAGAUAACUGGAUGGAUGUACAGCAUGUACAACCAUUCUUCAACAACUAUUUUCCAUCUAGCUAGUUAGUUAUCUACAUGUUGCCAUCUAUACAUGUCUGUCAUAUUGAGGUAUCUAGCUAUAAGUUAACCCUGAUCAAUCAAAUGGAUAGGUGUAGCAAUUAUGGUAAUUCCAAAUUCUCUUAACUAGGUGGCUUCACUAGACAGAGCGAGAGAGGGAGAGAGAGGUAGGAAGAGAGUGGAAGACAGACAGAAAGAGUGAAACAAAAACAGAAAGACAGCCGUACAAAUGUACUUAGACUUGAGUAUUUCAACAACUCUUCCAACUUGUUAGGCAAUUAUAUGUACCUACGGGGGAAGGAUGGCAAGCUACACAGUAGGGGGAUUUUUACUAAGGAGGAGAAGGAGGCUGUGCUGGCCCAGAUGCAUGCUGGCCCUUUCAGAGUGCAGCACACAAUUGCCAAAAUCAACCUACACUUCUUCUGAUGGGGAAUUGUCAAGGAGGUGGACAGAUGGGUAAGUGAAAUAACCUUUUGUUUAUCAAUCGUAUUCUAUUAUAUCUGAAAUGAUUAGGAUUUCAAUGAAUGUCAUAUCAAAGAGCACACAAUGUUUCAAUUGGUCCCUUUUUGCUUCAAGGUCAGAACCCUGUCUAGCCUGCCAGAAAUUUGAGAAGACAGAGUUUGUGGUGCCAGAGUUGAAGCCCAUAAAAGUUGUUUCACCAUGGCACAUGAUCAUUAAGUAUCCCAAUUCAAAUUUUGCCUUGAUAAGUUGUUAUGUAAUGGUUGCUUCCUUUGAUCACAGCGGAGUUCAAUAUUAUUGAAUGUGUGUUUUCAGUAUCCAUACAAAUGUGAAAAUAUGCAUACUGUAUGACACAGAUACAGGUAAGAAUAAAGUAAUCUUCUCACUAACACUUUAAAUGUUAGGGGUGGACCUCAUCGGACCCUUCACAAAAUCCAGGAAUGGCAACAGCUGGUGUCUGACGGUGACCGAUCACUUUACCAAGUGGCUGAAGGCAAUACCCAUUAAGUUUUGUAUGAUACCCAUCAAGGACGAGACUGGUGAGGCCACCUCCAAGGCGAUGUUGGACAUCUUCAACACCAACGCUUCUCCUGAGGUCAUCUUGAGUGACCGAGGUCAUGAACACUGGAACAAGGUUUGGUGAAUGGACCAACCAGACCCUCAAAACUGCCAUGGGAAAGUCCCUUGAUUGGUACCAGGAAGGUUGGGAGAACAACCUGAUGGUAAUUCUCUUUGCACACAACAGCAGCAUCCAGGCCUCCACAGAGAAUGGAUGGGUGCCGCAGGUGUUGACUGAGAGAAACACAACCACGGUCGCUAACCAGGAUACUUCUGCUUCAAAGAAAGAUCCCAAUCUGAGAUGUCCCCUGCUCCUACAGGGUCACCCUGCUUCAACAGGAUGGUUGCCCUAGAAUUACCCCUAUACAGAAAUAACUCUGCUACAACAAAGUUUCUAACUAGGGGUGUCUUUGCUUCAACAAAGACAAUGUGCACAACAGGAUUUUCUAUGAUGUGGAAAAGGUCAUUUGUUGUCUGUGUAAACUUAAAAUGGCACAAGGUUGAUAGCCCGAGGGCUCAACCGUCUAACUGCAUUCACAACAACACUAUAUUGUACUCCUUUCUGCAAGGUUCCAUACAAGUGACUUCCUGUUGAUAGUAAACCCACAGGAUUUCACAUGCUGCGGUUGCACCCAAACGUCUCUUAGCUGUAAGGACAGUCUUAUGACUAUGUCACACCAAGACACGUUUGUAUCAGGUUACAAAAAACACUAGCAUAUAACAAGAGACUAUACUUUAAGCAGUAAAACACGGGAUAGCAUUUUCCGCGACAGUACUUUCAGAUCACUGAAACUCCACCUGAGGUGGUGGAAGUUGUUGAACCAGAUCAGAACGCCUUCGAGGACCCCCUUCAGGCACGGACUGAGGAGGUGGAGGUUUUUGACCAGUCAAGGUGAGACUGAACAUGGACAAGGCGCAGGAGAAACAGAAGGAGAGCUACCGGAGAAGAAUCAAGAAGGGGACCAAGUGCUACGACAUUCGGGCAAAUGACUUGGUUUGGAAGAAGGAUGAAAGGAAGGCGAGACCUGGGAAACCUUGCUGCUCUUUCACCUCCUAGCUGAGGUCACCAUCUGUUAAAGGUUACCUCAGUGGAAGCAAGUGAAAACACUGACACCCUACACUUCAGUGAAGCCCAAAGACCUGUUAACUCUGCUCCUGUUCUCCAGGACCUGUUAACUCUGCUCCUGUUCUCCAGGACCUGUUAACUCUGCUCCUGUUCUCCAGGACCUAGAGGUUCUGCCCAACACCCAGAUGUGGAUCCACCUGAUGUUCUCCAUUACCAAACACCCUCCAACUUUCCAUUACAUCAUCUACAGCUACUGUUAUUGUCAUGUUGUCAUUAUCUGCUAAGAAAGUUUACUGGGCUCAUAAUAUGUGAGAUACACGGAUUAACUAAAAACACUAGCACUGCAAACACUCAGAACAAAGAGAGCAGCAGUGCCUGGUCUUUGCAGUCUCCCUCUUCAAGUCCCCCUUCUGGGACUGGCUGCCUGUUGAGAAGUGACAGGCAGAAUCUCCCACCCACACAGCAACCACCUCCUCUUUAUUCCACACACCAGAAUUCAGUAUUUUAGUCUAUGAAUGCCAUGUGAGUGUACAAAAAAUCAGUGAAAAUAAGUUAAUGACACAACUAUACCAAAAACUAUGGAAGUUUAUGUAUUCAAAUCUUAAAUAUUGGUGUUUCACAAGGUGUUCGUUAUUGUAAAUUGAAAGGUAUCCUAUUUCUUCCACAUUAUUCAUUGUUGUACCCUAGAACCUACAAUAAAUGCAUAUAUAUUCAACCACAAGGAUGUACUAAUGAGCUAUGCGAUAUACAAAAAUAUAUAUAUCAUAAUAGAGGACUACUGAAAUUCUAUUAUUUCAGUGUAGAUAAGGGAAGGGCAGGUUGAAAUUAAAACAUGGCAGCCAGACAAGCCAGUGUAUGAAUCAAAUGGAUUUGCAUAUGAAUGGAGUGGAAAUUAUCUGGUUUUGGGAUCUGUAACUUUAAUGUGUCAAGCGGAUUACACGUUUUCUUUGCCAUUUCCGAAACGUAGUAACGUUUAAGAUAUGGAUUUCAUGUUGUAAUGUUAACAAGGUACCUAAAAGUAGUUAAAAGUGAUAUUUUCAUAUUUUCAUUUUAUUAGCUUAACAAAACUUGUUUAAACAGCAACAUUGUCACGGAAAUCAGCCUUGUUUGCAUAGUGAUGAUGAAAAGAACGUCAUUUAGACUAUAAUGAUCUCCAAGAUUCUAAUCAUUAUGUCAUCACACCGUUGAUAUCGCAAUGGACGCUAAUAGCUAACUGAAUCCCAUUGUGACGCAGAGGAGGACACUUUUUGGCCCGGGGGGACAUUAUUUGGCAUGACAGCCCCGAAAAGGCUAGAGCCGUUGACUUGCAUUGUUGACUUGCGCUGGGUUUGUGCCACACUUGCUAAAAAAGUUUAGAAACACUGUCCAAGUAAACAAAACCAAACAAUGGAUUGCUGCUGGAAUUUUGGAUAAUGGUAAUUGGCCAGACAAAUGACUGCAGUCUCUGCAAUAACCGUUGGAAUAGCAAAAAACUAAAACAAAAUAAAAACUUUUUUUUUUACACACAUUUUCUCC